UACGGGGGGGAGCAAGCGUUGUUCGGAUUUACUGGGCGUAAAGGGCGCGUAGGCGGCGUGACAAGUCACUUGUGAAAUCUCCGGGCUUAACCCGGAGCGGCCAAGUGAUACUGUCGUGCUAGAGUGCGGAAGGGGCUACUGGAAUUCUCGGUGUAGCGGUGAAAUGCGUAGAUAUCGAGAGGAACACCUGCGGCGAAGGCGGGUUGCUGGGCUGACACUGACGCUGACAGCGCGAAAGCUAGGGGAGCGAACGGG
rnacentral:rRNA from 1 species